GUUUUAAACCCGGCGGGUGGUGGCACCACUAACCAGCCAGGAGGACCACAGGCUCCUGCACUCUGGUGAGUCCUACCACCCCGCUCUCCAUACACCCUCCUACCUCAGACCUCUUCAGGGUCUUUCCCAUCAGAAUAUCAGCAACAUGAGUGCAGAAGCUUGCUCACUGCUGUGUCUUCAGUGCCCAGCUCAUGGCCUGGCACACAGGGUCAGGAACAGCGCCCCCCCCUUAGCUCAAUGACUGAAUGACCGGGAGACGAGAUCAGACCGGCAGCUUCUGUGUCUCUUUAAUAUCCUCCAGGCCCAUCCAACCCUCCCCCUCCCCCACUCCCACUCCCGCCGCCUUCAAUGGGACGGGGCGGGGGGAGGCGCGGGUGCACCCUCCCGCAGCCCAAGGACUAAGGCACCAGGUGGCUGCAGCAAGCCGGCGCAGACACAG